UACGAAGGUGGCAAGCGUUGUUCGGAUUUACUGGGCGUAAAGGGAGCGUAGGUGGUGGGGUAAGCCCCGCGGGAAAGCUCCAGGCUUAACCUGGAAAGGUCGCGGGGGACUGCUCCGCUCGAGGACGGGAGAGGAGCGCGGAAUUCCCGGUGUAGCGGUGAAAUGCGUAGAGAUCGGGAGGAAGGCCGGUGGCGAAGGCGGCGCUCUGGAACGGCCCUGACGCUGAGACGCGAAAGCGCGGGGAGCGAACGGG
rnacentral:rRNA from 1 species